UCUUACGGAUGAGCGAAGAAAGUGUGGUUUCUUGAGAUGGAAUCUACUUCUGGUAAAGAUGCUGUGAA
rnacentral:pre_miRNA from 1 species